rnacentral:rRNA from 1 species
UACGUAGGGAGCGAGCGUUGUCCGAAGUUACUGGGCGUAAAGCGCGCGUAGGCGGUCGCUUAAGUUAGAUGUGAAAUCCCGCAGCCCAACUGCGGAACUGCAUCUAAAACUGGGCGACUUGAGGACGGAAGAGGGCAGUGGAAUUCCUGGUGUAGCGGUGAAAUGCGUAGAUAUCAGGAGGAACACCCGUGGCGAAGGCGGCUGCCUGGUCCGUAUCUGACGCUGAGGCGCGAAAGCUAGGGGAGCGAACGGG